rnacentral:lncRNA from 1 species
GUUAAGAAACAGAAAAUUUUGUGGGAAAAUUCAACAUAAAGAUACAAACUUAUGUAAGAAAAAGAAAAAAUUCCCCAUAUUAGUAUUUAAAGUAAUUGGUUCUACCUUUACUAAGUUUGGAGAGAAACAACAUAAAAGUAAACUACUAAAUCCUAAAUUUAAAUAGUUUUAAUAAAAUGAGAACAGGAUUACUCCUCUCAACUCUUACCCCACCCUGAUGAAGGAGUCUUCCUGAAAGGUAACUGAACAGUUCAGAGAGAAGCCCCACAAGAGUUACUAGCAUUUGAGAGGCCCUCCAAAAAUGACUGGGUCUUCCUGAUCACUGCUCCCUGAAGCCCACAAGCAGGCAAAUCUUUUAGUGUCUUACUCUUAAAAAGGAUUGGACAAAGAUCCUCAAAAAUGUGAAGAAUCCAGAGGUAAAGACAGAAACAGAGAGCUUGGUGAAAACAUAAACAAGGCAAAGAGCAUAUGAAUAUAUUCUUAGACAAAGAAAGUUAUCGCAUUUCUGGAAAAGGAAAAGAAUGCUAAAAUAACAGAGUAUAAAAAAUGUUUAGAAAUUAAAACUGUAAUAGCUAAUAUUUUUAAAUUCCAUAGAAAAAUUAUAGGAAAAUUUAAGGAAAUAUCUCUAAAAUAGAAUGACAAAUAAAGACACAAGGAAGGUUGAAAAGGAUAAGAAAAUUAAAAGAUUAUUCUGAGAUAUUAAAUAUUUAAUCAACAAAGAGGCUAGAAAAUGAGAAUAAGAAA